AGGGACCUCGUACCAAAGAUGUCCGGUUGUCACCUUACAUCACUGGUUUGCGUCGAAGUCUCACAACCAAACAGACAGGAAGCAGCAGAACUGCAAAGACUUGGAUCUUCAUUCUCCUGGGAAGCAUCGCCAAACUCCCCUGUCCAGUGUCCUCGUGACUCCGUAAGCUCUUCCCCAGUGUCCUCGAUCUCAAAAACCGCGACACGUCUGUCACUGCUGAGAUCAGUGAACGUUUCUACAAGUUCAACGCUACUUAUGAACGAGUCCAGAAAGUCACUGAAAGCUUGGAUCUUAAUCGGGACCAUCCCAAAUCCAGACAUACCAGUCAAAAAUGGGUAUUAAUCUGAGAUGGUUUAAUUUAUUUUCUUUUUUAUUUCAAGGGAAUGUCAAUAUAAAUAGUUUAUUGUUGAAAUAAUGGCAGAAUUCAUAUAGUUUGAUCAUUACCCAUAAAUCAAGCAAAUAAACUUAACUGAAUCUCAGGAGCCAAAUAAAUCCA